AGGAAAUUGUCCCCUCGGUGCGUGAGGAGCGCAGCAGCCAGGCUGGCUUUUCUUGCCUCCUAAAAGGUAUCUUUGCCCAGACGUGACCCAGGGCCUUCCAUCGGUGGCUCAGGCCCCUGGCAGCGGUGCCAUCUCCCUUUGGCUGGGGGGUGUUCCCUGCAAGAGCCACAGCUGUAACCUGCCCGCUUCACUUCCCCGCAAAACUGGAUCUUGUUCCCCAAAGAUCGCUCCCCAGCUGGAAUCCCCCCUCCUGCUUGAACAAAGCCUCUGGUGCUUCAUACCUGAAUACACAGGUUCUGCCACAAAUAUGACACACAGAGCCAAACCCAAGAAGAUCCCAGACCCAUGGAGGCCCAGACCAAGUCUGCUAUGGCAGGUUGAUAAGUGACCUCAGACAGCAGUGGUUGAAAAGAAGAGACAGCUGCCAUGGUGUGCAGCACAGCUUCC
rnacentral:lncRNA from 12 species